GUUAUUAUGUUUUAUCACGAUAAUAUUUUUGUUGUACGCAUUGGCUGACGUGUGUACAAGGAAAUUUCUAGAAAAAUAAUCGUUUCACAUAAGACACGUUAGAUAAUUUCCACUUGUCGAACUCGAGAACUGAUGUUUAACUCAAAUACAGUCGCGCUAUUAACAACGUGUUGAACAUGCAGAAAAUCUACAAUAUGUCUUUGUACGUUGUGCAAAUAAGUUUAAGGCAACAACUGUCAUUAAUUUUUACGUCCAACAUAAUUAUGUGUUACUCGUUGAUUUAAACUUGAAAAUAAACAAAAGAAGGCAACUUUUCAUGAAAAGCUUUCUCCUUGAACUUAUAAUAGAAACCUUAAAAUGGCAUAAUCUAAUAUUUUUUAACACCCGGAAAAAAUAACAUCGAGUAAUGCUAUGACAGUCCUCGUGUGAUCUCAUAAUACAAAUACAGUGUUUCAAACAACGUUAAAUUGUAUUUUUUACAUAAAAAAACUAAUAAAUCUUUUUAAUUAUAAUAAGCACACGCGGAAUUAGAUUUGGACACACUAUUGUGUGCAAGUAUUAUUUUACAUGACUGUUGUUAAAACACUAAUUUCGGUUAAUAAUUUCGUUAAAACAGCAAUGGAAUCGUUCACGAGGGACUUGUUUCAAAAUGCAACCCGAAUAAUAUGGACGUCGCUCGCCAGAGAAUUAUUUCUAUUAUCCACUAAUUUAGCACAGUAAAUGUACAAAUAGAUUAUGUCGAUGAAGUAUAACCAUAAAAUAUUUUCACGACAAAAUAUAAUAAAUAGAUUCAACGCUUUAGAAGACAUUAUUUGAAGAACACCAAGACAAAAUUCUACUACAAUAAUUUCUACCGUUAUCAUAUAUUUUUUCAACCAAAUACAACGGUGAAUUGUAAUUAUAUCUACUUAGUUUUUAUUAGUACCUAUCCGUAUACGUAUGUGUAACACAAUGAUAUAGUUUAUUAAGGCAGUUUUGUGACUCUUACAGAGUCUAUAUUUUAUAUAUAACAAAGUUUCAAGAUUAACACACUUAGUUUUUUAAAUAAAAAUUAAAAAUAUUAAUAA